UGCUCCCCCCAGCCCGGUACCUCUGGUGCGGUAGGAGACCACGGCCACGGCCCUGGAGAGAGGGAGGGAGGAGAGAGCUGCAGCAUCCACCUCUUCCAAGCCAGGUGCCUCCACUGAUAUCCCACCAGGUCCAUAACAAAGUUGCUGAUGACACCUGCCAGGAGGGAAUGCAGCACAAGCACAGGAUCAGCACAGGAGCCAAGGUGGGCAAAUCUCUGCUUUCAUCCCCCAUGUCAGCUCUGAGACAGUGGAUUACUGUGUUCCAGCUCUGGUUACACUGUGCAUGGCUGUGUCAGACUUAUCCCUGAAAUACAGUGUUGGGAUGGUCCAUUCAGCACCCCCUAACU